rnacentral:rRNA from 1 species
GGUGAACGCUGGCGGCGUGCCUAACACAUGCAAGUCGAGCGGUGCAGUUUGAAGCUUCGGUGGAAAGCUGCAUAGCGGCGGACGGGUGAGGAAAACGUAGGAACGUGCCCCUUGGAGUUGGAUAGCCACGGGAAACUGUGGGUAAACCGACAUAGACUCGAGAGAGUAAAGGCCGAAAGGCGCCAAGGGAGCGGCCUGCGGCCCAUCAGGUAGUUGGUAGUGUAAAGGACUACCAAGCCGACGACGGGUAGCCGGUCUGAGAGGAAGGUCCCCCACACUGGAACUGAGACACGGUCCAGACUCCUACGGGAGCAGCAGUGAGGAAUAUUGGUCAAUGGGCGCGAGCCUGAACCAGCCACGUCGCGUGAAGGAUGACGGCCUUAUGGGUUGUAAACUUCUUUUACAGGGGAAUAAAGUGAGUCACGUGUGUAUUUUUGCAUGUACCCUGUGAAUAAGCAUCGGCUAACUCCGUG